rnacentral:lncRNA from 1 species
AUGACUCCCCAGAGCUUCCUGCUUUGGUCCCGCAGACACUGUCGGUGGCAGGGGAUUCCUCCCCACUUCUCCCUGCCCCUGGCGGCAGAGCUGAGCGUAUCGCUCUGUGCCAGCCCCAGCAGGAACACGCUGUUCGGAUGCAGGCGGAAGCAAACACAGUGCCAGCUGAGGCCACGGCUGCCGAUGUUAUCUGUGCAAUGUCGUCAGCCGUCAUGCGUGUGGCCAGAGACAGGUUUGCUUGCUGCCUCUGAGGAGCUGUGCAAGCAUAAAAGCUUGGAGGUCCCCAUGGAGCGCAACGUCCUCACAGGUGUGCUGCAUGGGUGCCAGGUUGUGCUGGGCAAGAGGCCAGCUCUGAAGAUGAAGGUCAUGUUCCUGCUCUUGGAGCUGAUGCUUCUGUCGGUGCUGCAGGCCCGGGCAAAAAUCCCUCUGAAGGAAUAUUUUGAUGCAGAGAAGCUUGCUGGGAAGUGGCAUACCAUUGCCAUAGCUUCCCACUCCAGCUGGAUCGAAGACUUCAAGAGAAAUGGGAAGAUGGCUGUGAGCACUGUAAAACCACAACAGAAUGGUGAAAUAAUCAUCAAAACUUUAAUUUCUGGGUAAGCUGCAGUGCAAAUCUCAUUUGCUAUGGCUUGCACCACGGGCUCCUUUCCUUUUUGCUCUGAAAAAGCCUCUCAGUUAGCUCUUGAGUUCUUCAGAAAAACAUAGGAAAAACUAUGUAGGUCCCUUGGGGGAGGUCAUUGCUUCCUGACAUAGUAACACGUGUGCUGUUUGCAUGCAUGGAGCAGAGUUUCCAAGAGCUGGCCUCCAUCCUCCAACCUUGAACGGUGAUCAACUAAAAGUAGAAAAAUACAGUGGACGUGGAAACAUCUGCCGUGUGGCUGGAGACUACAGAGGAGAGACCAGAGGGGCUACUGUGCUCUGUGCCCACGCAGGAGAUGUCCAACAUCUGCUCCUGCUGCUGACUCAGACUUAAGGUACAGCCUAGUCUGGCAAAAACGGAGCAAGGAACUGUGCAAGGAGACCCUUUGGCCUGGUGGGGGAGAUUUGCUCCUUCUAGCUGCAGGUGGAGCCAGAGAAUCAGUGCAUCCACGGGUGUUUGUAAAGCACCUCUAAGUGAACAGUGUGAGCAAAGAUUUAGGAUUAUUGUCUUUGCUCCACUACCAGGCUGUGUUGGGGAUUGGAGAAGUGUCACUAAAUCAAAGAAAUUAGAUUUAAACAUUUUUCUAUUUAAUCUAUCUUUACGAGUGCAAGAUUGUCUUCACUUGUCAUUCUGUGUGCUUGAAAAGAGAGGCCAAAUUCAACCAAGCUUCUUCCCAGUGGAGAAGACUGAUGUGGCUCCACAUGCUUUAAAAUUAGUUUCUUCUUUUCUUUAGCACUAACUAGAGGAUGCCACACACCCCACAUUACCUCUUCAUUCAGCCCAAAAAAAAUCAGAUUGAUGAACCUCUUCCUCCUAGAAAGGUGUCCAGUCUUGGCUGGAUGACGAGGGAUGAAAACCAUAACAUUUUCUUGACAGCUUCUUCCCAGCCACCCCUGACGUUGUUAGGUGUGCCUUGUCUCUGAGUGGAAUUGUCUCAGCUCAAGCCCCAGCUGCAUCUUC